rnacentral:rRNA from 1 species
UGAGGAAUAUUGGACAAUGGAGGCAACUCUGAUCCAGCCAUGCCGCGUGCAGGAAGACUGCCCUAUGGGUUGUAAACUGCUUUUAUACAGGAAGAAUUUUUAGUACGUGUACUAGAUUGACGGUACUGUAAGAAUAAGGAUCGGCUAACUCCGUGCCAGCAGCCGCGGUAAUACGGAGGAUCCAAGCGUUAUCCGGAAUCAUUGGGUUUAAAGGGUCCGUAGGUGGUUUAAUAAGUCAGAGGUGAAAUCCUGCAGCUCAACUGUAGCAUUGCCUUUGAUACUGUUAAACUUGAGUAAUUGUGAAGUAGUUAGAAUGUGUAGUGUAGCGGUGAAAUGCAUAGAUAUUACACAGAAUACCGAUUGCGAAGGCAGAUUACUAACAAUUGACUGACACUGAUGGACGAAAGCGUGGGUAGCGAACAGG